AGCUUUGUAAAGUGGCAGUAUCGUAGCCAAUGAGGUUAAGGCAUGAUUAUUGCUAAUAGAAAGAUAGCUCUGGCUUCACUGUUCGGUAUGUUGACUUCGACUUCAUCCUCAUUUUUGUUUAGGUGCUUUGCCACACU
rnacentral:snRNA from 1 species